GCCAAUGUGGUGUAGUGGUUUGAGCAUUGGACUAUGACUCUGAGGACUAGGGUUUGAAUCCCUGCUCAGCCA